rnacentral:rRNA from 1 species
AUGGCCGCCACACUCCUCACGCGGACACCAUGGCCUGGACGCAGCAGCGUGACACCACAUCACUACGCCUACACUGAAUUCAGCAAAGGAACUCCGGCCCAUCCAACUUUCAGUGCAGCCAUACAUCCUUCAGCCUUCUACACCACGCCGGCAAGCCGGAAAGUGCUACAACAGUGGCAGCGCUCUCCCAGGCACUUGGGCUGCCCACAACUCCUACAAAAUAAAUUGGCACAAGCUUACUCACAUAGAUUUGCAGAUCGGCGCGUGUUAAAAAUAUGUACAUGCAGAUGGAUCAUUCGCAGAUCAUCUUUAUCGGGAAGGACUACUUCUCAAGCGACUACUGCCUUUAUCAAGUAA